GUGGUCUAGAUGGUUAGGACGCAACCUUCACAAGAACCAAGUUGUGAGGGCGGUUGAGAUCCUGGGUUCGAGUCCCAGCA